GUUAUGUAAACUUCAUGUUUGUAUCGUAAUGUUUCAAAAAGGCACAUGUACAUUUCGUUGUUCCGCAUGUGCUUCCGAUAUGUCCCAAUUUAUUGUUCACAAUACCCUUUUGUACCCUGGUGUUUGUGGGAUUAUUUGGACCUUUGCCAGAAAUGGUAAAGGGUAUGUGCUUAGAGCCCGCGAUGCUCUAGAUUAUGUUUGGUGGUCAUUCAGAAAUGAAUAGACCAUAUUAUGUUUGAAAUCCCAG
rnacentral:lncRNA from 1 species